GUGUCAGCAGCCGCGGUAAUACGGAGGAGGCAAGCGUUAUCCGGAAUUAUUGGGCGUAAAGCGUCCGUAGGUGGAUGGAGAAGUCUGUUGUCAAAGCAUGGAGCUUAACUCCAUAAGGGCAAUGGAAACUCUUCGUCUAGAGUGCGAUAGGGGCAAGGGGAAUUCCCCGUGUAGCGGUGAAAUGCGUAGAGAUGGGGAAGAACACCGGUGGCGAAAGCGCCUUGCUGGGUCUGCACUGACACUGAGGGACGAAAGCUAGGGGAGCGAAAGGGAUUAGAUACCCUCGUAGUCC
rnacentral:rRNA from 1 species